AUGAACUUCGACGACAUCCACACGCUCCAGCAGGCGCUGGACGUCGCCCCGCCGCCUCGUCUUCGCACGGCACAAGACCGUGCAGAGCACGCUGAGCGGCAGCGCCGCCUCCUCGUCGCCCAUGAGGACGAGCGGACCAUGGCGAAGUGGCGCCGGCGCCACCCGGAGGACGUCACCUACGAGCAAGCCUACUGGGCAAGGCGCCGCGAGGAGGACACGCAAAGGCGCCGCGCCGAGCGGUUGGAUAGGCGUCGGCGAAAGGCUCUGGCGAUAUCGCAGUGCGGCAUCGUUCAAAAUGGUGGGCAGUCGAUCUUUUCGGCUGAUGAUGACCGUUGGUUGGACAUGUGGAUCGAUACCUCGGACCAGACAAGCGAGGAUGGCGACGAUGACGAUGACGACGACGACUGGGAGUAG
rnacentral:rRNA from 1 species